AGUGAACGCUGGCGGUAGGCCUAACACAUGCAAGUCGAACGGCAGCACAGAGGAGCUUGCUCCUUGGGUGGCGAGUGGCGGACGGGUGAGGAAUACAUCGGAAUCUACUCUGUCGUGGGGGAUAACGUAGGGAAACUUACGCUAAUACCGCAUACGACCUACGGGUGAAAGCAGGGGACCUUCGGGCCUUGCGCGAUUGAAUGAGCCGAUGUCGGAUUAGCUAGUUGGCGGGGUAAAGGCCCACCAAGGCGACGAUCCGUAGCUGGUCUGAGAGGAUGAUCAGCCACACUGGAACUGAGACACGGUCCAGACUCCUACGGGAGGCAGCAGUGGGGAAUAUUGGACAAUGGGCGCAAGCCUGAUCCAGCCAUACCGCGUGGGUGAAGAAGGCCUUCGGGUUGUAAAGCCCUUUUGUUGGGAAAGAAAUCCAGCUGGCUAAUACCCGGUUGGGAUGACGGUACCGUAAGAAUAAGCACCGGCUAACUACGUGCCAGCCGCCGCCGUAA
rnacentral:rRNA from 1 species